GCAGUCAUGGCCUAACGGUUAGAGAGUUGAACUUAUAACCCGAAGGUCGUGGGUUCGAGUCUCAGGUCCGGCA